GUGUCUCCAUGGCGUCCCUAUGUGUCCCUAUGUGUCCCUAUGUGUCUCCAUGGGAACCCUACGUGUCUCCAUGGCGUCCCUACGGGUCCCUAUGGGUCGCAAUGUGUCGCUCUGUGUCCCCAUGUGUCGGUGUGUGUCCCCAUGGUGGCUGUGUGUCUCUAUGUGUCCCUAUGUGUCCCUACGUGUCCCUAUGUGUCUCUGUGUGUCCCUAUGUGUCUCAGUGUGUCUCUAUGUGUCCCUACGUGUCUCCAUGGGGUCCCAAUGGGUCGCUAUGGGUCGCUAUGGGUCGCAGUGUGUUGGUGUGUGUCCCCCAGGUGGCUGUGUGUCUCUAUGUGUCUGUAUGUGUCCGUAUGUGUCCCUGUGGGUCCCUAUGUGUCCCUAUGUGUCUCCAUGGCGUCCCUAUGGGUCCCUAUGGGUCGCUAUGGGUCGCAAUGUGUCCCCAUGUGUAGGUGUGCGUCCCCCCGGUGGCUGUGUGUCUCUAUGUGUCCCUAUGGGUCCCUAUGGGUCCCUAUGUGUCCCUAUGUGUCCCUAUGUGUCUCUAUGUGUCUCAGUGUGUCUCUAUGUGUCCCUAUGUGUCCCUAUGUGUCUCCAUGGCAUCCCUAUGUGUCUCCAUGGCAUCCCUAUGUGUCCCUAUGUGUCCCUAUGUGUCUCCAUGGGGUCCCUAUGAGUCGCUAUGGGUCGCUAUGGGUCGCAAUGUGUCCCCAUGUGUCAGUAGGUGUCCCCAUGGGUGGCUGUGUGUCUCUAUGUGUCUCAGUGUGUCUCCAUGUGUCUCUAUGUGUCUCUAUGUGUCCCUACGUGUCUCUAUGUGUCCCUAUGUGUCUCCUUGGGGUCCCUAUGGGUCGCUAUGGGUCCCUAUGUGUCCCUAUGGGUCCCUAUGUGUCUGUAUGUGUCCCUACGUGUCCCUAUGGGUCCCUAUGGGUCUCUGUGUGUCUCUAUGGGUCCCUAUGUGUCCCUAUGUGUCUGUAUGUGUCUGUAUGGCUCUCUAUGUAUCCCUAUGGGUCUCUAUGGGUCUCUAUGGAUCUCUAUGGGUCACAGUGGCUCUCUACGUUUCUCUAUGGUUCUCUAUGUGUCCCUAUGUGUCCCUAUGUGUCCCUAUGGGUCCCUAUGUGUCCCUAUGUGUCUCUAUGGGUCUCUGUGUGUCUCUAUGGGUCCC
rnacentral:lncRNA from 1 species